CACACUGUCACCAUCUCCCACACUCACUGUCACACUCCCACACACACUGGCACACUCGCUGGAGGAGGAAAGAUGGCAAUAAGAGUCUGGUGGAAGAGAAGUGGCACAAAGAGUCUGGUGGAAGAGAGGUGGCACAGAAAGGCUAAGGGUUGUUAGGUGACACAUGGCACUAGCAGGCUUUUUGGAUGUACGUGUGGCUCAUUGGUAUGAUAUACAAAUUGUAUGGAUUUACUGCUG